UUGAAUUACUCCUAAUAUACAUACUUGUGAAAAAAAUCUAACUAAUUCUUGUUGCACAAAAUUUGUGCUUUUUCUGCCGGUAGCACAAAAUUGGGAAUUCAUUGGCUCACAUAUAGAUGUUACAAUUUAGUGAAGCUAUGAGACAAUAAAACCAGGGAAUGGAAGUUCGGGGUUUGCGCCUUGUGUUAAGUUCAGCACUAGGAUCGUG
rnacentral:misc_RNA from 1 species